rnacentral:rRNA from 1 species
AGCGGAGGAAAAGAAAAUAACAAUGAUUCCCUUAGUAACUGCGAGUGAAGGGGGAAANGCUCAAAUUUUAAAUCUGUUAGGUUAUACCUGACCGAGUUGUAAUUUGAAGAGGCGUUUUCUGAGGUUUUGAUCAGUCCAAGUCCUUUGGGAUAAGGCAUCAUGGAGGGUGAGAAUCCCGUUCGGUUGAUCAGAACUUCUUUACGAUACGUCAUCAAAGAGUCAAGUUGUUUGGGAUUGCAGCUUAAAAUGGGAGGUAAAUUUCUCCUAAGGCUAAAUAACGGCGAGAGACCGAUAGCGAACAAGUACCGUGAGGGAAAGAUGAAAAGAACUUUGAAAAGAGAGUUAAACAGUACGUGAAAUUGUUGAAAGGGAAACGAUUGAAGCCAGUCGUACCGGCGGGUAAUCAGCCUUUUGGGUGUGAUUAUGUGGAGUGUGAGGAGUUAAACACCCUCAUCUUUGCAUAUUCGUGCACUUUGGGUGUACUUGCUCGUGUGGUAGGUUAACAUCAAUUUUGAUCGUCAUAAAAUGAUUGGAGGAAUGUAGCUUCGAUCUCGUAUUGAAGUGUUAUAGCCUUCGGUAGAUGUGAUGAUUGGGAUUGAGGAUUGCAACGGAUACCCUUCGGGGCUACCUGUCUGAUCUCUGAAAGUUGCUCUGGUGCUGAAAGCUUGCUUAUAGUAUCAAAGUUGACGUUCAACAGGUUAGAACGGGAUAAAUUCGUUAAGGAUGUUGACGUAAUGGCUUUAAACGACCCGUCUUG